GAUGAACGCCGGCGGCGUGCCUAAUACAUGCAAGUCGAGCGAACAGUUAAGGAGCUUGCUCCUUUGACGUUAGCGGCGGACGGGUGAGUAACACGUGGGUAACCUACCUAUAAGACUGGGAUAACUUCGGGAAACCGGAGCUAAUACCGGAUAAUAUUUCGAACCGCAUGGUUCGAUAGUGAAAGAUGGCCCUGCUAUCACUUAUAGAUGGACCUGCGCCGUAUUAGCUAGUUGGUAAGGUAACGGCUUACCAAGGCAACGAUACGUAGCCGACCUGAGAGGGUGAUCGGCCACACUGGAACUGAGACACGGUCCAGACUCCUACGGGAGGCAGCAGUAGGGAAUCUUCCGCAAUGGGCGAAAGCCUGACGGAGCAACGCCGCGUGAGUGAUGAAGGUCUUCGGAUCGUAAAACUCUGUUAUUAGGGAAGAACAAACGUGUAAGUAACUGUGCACGUCUUGACGGUACCUAAUCAGAAAGCCACGGCUAACUACGUGCCAGCAGCCGCGGUAAUACGUAGGUGGCAAGCGUUAUCCGGAAUUAUUGGGCGUAAAGCGCGCGUAGGCGGUUUUUUAAGUCUGAUGUGAAAGCCCACGGCUCAACCGUGGAGGGUCAUUGGAAACUGGAAAACUUGAGUGCAGAAGAGGAAAGUGGAAUUCCAUGUGUAGCGGUGAAAUGCGCAGAGAUAUGGAGGAACACCAGUGGCGAAGGCGACUUUCUGGUCUGUAACUGACGCUGAUGUGCGAAAGCGUGGGGAUCAAACAGGAUUAGAUACCCUGGUAGUCCACGCCGUAAACGAUGAGUGCUAAGUGUUAGGGGGUUUCCGCCCCUUAGUGCUGCAGCUAACGCAUUAAGCACUCCGCCUGGGGAGUACGACCGCAAGGUUGAAACUCAAAGGAAUUGACGGGGACCCGCACAAGCGGUGGAGCAUGUGGUUUAAUUCGAAGCAACGCGAAGAACCUUACCAAAUCUUGACAUCCUUUGACCCUUCUAGAGAUAGAAGUUUCCCCUUCGGGGGACAAAGUGACAGGUGGUGCAUGGUUGUCGUCAGCUCGUGUCGUGAGAUGUUGGGUUAAGUCCCGCAACGAGCGCAACCCUUAAGCUUAGUUGCCAUCAUUAAGUUGGGCACUCUAAGUUGACUGCCGGUGACAAACCGGAGGAAGGUGGGGAUGACGUCAAAUCAUCAUGCCCCUUAUGAUUUGGGCUACACACGUGCUACAAUGGACAAUACAAAGGGCAGCGAAACCGCGAGGUCAAGCAAAUCCCAUAAAGUUGUUCUCAGUUCGGAUUGUAGUCUGCAACUCGACUACAUGAAGCUGGAAUCGCUAGUAAUCGUAGAUCAGCAUGCUACGGUGAAUACGUUCCCGGGUCUUGUACACACCGCCCGUCACACCACGAGAGUUUGUAACACCCGAAGCCGGUGGAGUAACCAUUUGAAGCUAGCCGUCGAAGGUGGGACAAAUGAUUGGGGUGAAGUCGUAACAAGGUAGCCGUAUCGGAAGG
rnacentral:rRNA from 1 species